UUGAAACAUUGUAAAGGGAGGUUGAGCUGGCUCUUCACUGAGCAAGUGCUCGCCUUUCUUUCAAUCUUCAUCCACCUGUGCACUUUUUGUAGAGAGAUUUGAGAACGGGCCUUGUAACAGGGGCCUUAGUAUCAAGGCUCUCUAUGUUUUUACACACUCUGAACGUAUGUUUUGAAUGUCUAAUACCAUAACUUAAUA
rnacentral:misc_RNA from 1 species